AAAAAAGUGCAACAGCCCUGUCAUUACUCUAAAGCACAUUUUAUACUUAAUCUGACUUAAAUUAUUUAAUUUUCUGUCUUGUUCUUGAGCUUAAGUAAAUUAUUUACUUUAAUUUAAAGUAAAUCUAAGUUUUGUUGGUUUAAUUUAAACUAUUUGCUACACAUCAAAUCAAUAAUUUUGCGUUCUGUGUAAACCACGUGACCACUGACGUAAUCGUGGUUGGGUUUGAGAAUUUUACGAUCGACGGCCAUCUUGUUUCCCCUCACAUCCAGACUGCGGCUGACAGCAGUUCCACAAUAUCGGACGGGGUACUGCUGAACAACAAUUAGGACAGGUUUUGAAUAAUCCAGCCACAUGAAAAACAAGUCUAUUUUCUGUUUCUCUUUCUUACAGAUUAAUGCAGAAUUUUUUCGCAACACGACCUUACCUCUACAAUCAAGAUUUAUGGCCUCUUUGGACAGACAGACAGCUCUCAGCUUCUCCAGGUUAUUAGGAGCAAAGGUGGAGCCCUCCGUGAGAAAACUAAGGACACUAUUAAAGUUAUGGAUCAGAGUUUGGACAUAGACAUCAGAAGAGAGUGCCUGCUGAAGUGCCUGAUCACAUACCUUGGUGAAGAUGCAAGCUGUCUGAUCAAAGAAUACCAGGCUGACCAGAGGGAGGAAGCAGAGAGAGAA